rnacentral:rRNA from 1 species
GCUGGCGACCGGCGCACGGGUGAGUAACACGUAUCCAACCUGCCGAUAACUCGGGGAUAGCCUUUCGAAAGAAAGAUUAAUACCCGAUAGCAUAAUGAUUCCGCAUGGUUUCAUUAUUAAAGGAUUCCGGUAAAGGAUGGGGAUGCGUUCCAUUAGGUUGUUGGUGAGGUAACGGCUCACCAAGCCUUCGAUGGAUAGGGGUUCUGAGAGGAAGGUCCCCCACAUUGGAACUGAGACACGGUCCAA